AGAAUCAUUAAUUAUUUUGACAGUCAAGUCGACCUUGUUUUCAUUCUACUGUCUUUGAAGAUGAUUCUUCAAAUCUUGGUUGUGUUCCUGGUUAUGUCUCUUGCACAAUGUGAAUAUGCAGAAAAGCAGGUUGCCAAGCGACUUACAUGUGAUGUUUGGCUAAUGGGCGGAGCCCUGUGCACCAUGCACUGCGCUGGACAUGGACAUUCAGGCGGCCACUGCAACAAACACAAUGUUUGUGUCUGCCGUCAUUAAGAAGAAAAGAAGAUGAUGACCAAUACGAGUUUUGUACGUACUAAUCGUCAUCUUUUGGAAAAUAAUAAAAAAUAAUAACCAUGGAA